UACAGAGGGGGCGAGCGUUGUUCGGAAUUACUGGGCGUAAAGGGCGCGUAGGCGGCCCGCUAAGUCGAACGUGAAAUCCCCAGGCUCAACUUGGGAACUGCGUCCGAUACUGGCAGGCUUGAAUCCGGGAGAGGGAUGUGGAAUUCCAGGUGUAGCGGUGAAAUGCGUAGAUAUCUGGAGGAACACCGGUGGCGAAGGCGGCAUCCUGGACCGGUAUUGACGCUGAGGCGCGAAAGCUAGGGGAGCAAACGGG
rnacentral:rRNA from 1 species